rnacentral:rRNA from 1 species
GACGAACGCUGGCGGCGUGCCUAAUACAUGCAAGUUGAGCGCUGAAGGUUGGUACUUGUACCAACUGGAUGAGCAGCGAACGGGUGAGUAACGCGUGGGGAAUCUGCCUUUGAGCGGGGGACAACAUUUGGAAACGAAUGCUAAUACCGCAUAAAAACUUUAAACACAAGUUUUAAGUUUGAAAGAUGCAAUUGCAUCACUCAAAGAUGAUCCCGGGUUGUAUUAGCUAGUUGGUGAGGUAAAGGCUCACCAAGGCGAUGAUACACAGCCGACCUGAGAGGGUGAUCGGCCACAUUGGGACUGAGACACGGCCCAAACUCCUACGGGAGGCAGCAGUAGGGAAUCUUCGGCAAUGGACGAAAGUCUGACCGAGCAACGCCGCGUGAGUGAAGAAGGUUUUCGGAUCGUAAAACUCUGUUGGUAGAGAAGAACGUUGGUGAGAGUGGAAAGCUCAUCAAGUGACGGUAACUACCCAAAAAGGGACGGCUAACUACGUGCCAGCCGCCGCCGUAA